UCACCCCUCAAGCCUGGCUUGGUGUUGGACCCCCGGUUGGGUUGGGCUUUCCCACCCGUCGCUGGUCCCAAAGAUAACGACGGGCGUCUGCUUGAGGACACCAGUACACUGAGCUUCUUCGCGGGCACGUACUCGGCCUCGCCCUCGCAGGCCCGGUCUCCCACCGGUCCCCACGGGGACCGUGUCUCCA
rnacentral:misc_RNA from 1 species